rnacentral:antisense_RNA from 3 species
UUCUAUGGGCGGGCCGUGGUGAGGGGGCCGCGAGGUCCGCCGGUUAUGGUUUAACGCCCGGUCUGUCAACCUCGCUACGUGCCCGCUCACCCCA